CUGUGGUAAUUCUAGAGCUAAUACAUGGUUAAAAUCUCGACCUUUUGGAAGAGAUGUAUUUAUUAGAUAAAAAAUCAAUGUCUUCGGACUUCUUGAUGAUUCAUAAUAACUUUUCGAAUCGCAUGGCAUUUUGCUGGCGAUGGUUCAUUCAAAUUUCUGCCCUAUCAACUUUCGAUGGUAGGAUAGUGGCCUACCAUGGUUUCAACGGGUAACGGGGAAUAAGGGUUCGAUUCCGGAGAGGGAGCCUGAGAAACGGCUACCACAUCCAAGGAAGGCAGCAGGCGCGCAAAUUACCCAAUCCUAAUUCAGGGAGGUAGUGACAAUAAAUAACGAUACAGGGCCCUUUGGGUCUUGUAAUUGGAAUGAGUACAAUGUAAAUACCUUAACGAGGAACAAUUGGAGGGCAAGUCUGGUGCCAGCAGCCGCGGUAAUUCCAGCUCCAAUAGCGUAUAUUAAAGUUGUUGCAGUUAAAAAGCUCGUAGUUGAACUUUGGGCACGGAGGGCCGGUCCGAUUAUUUCGAGAACUGGAUACCUUUGUGCCUUUCCUUCUGGGGAACCUAUGCUCCUUGUGGGUGUAGGGGGUCCAGGAUUUUUACUUUGAAAAAAUUAGAGUGUUCAAAGCAGGCGUAUUGCUCGAAUAUAUUAGCAUGGAAUAAUAGAAUAGGACGUUUGGUUCUAUUUUGUUGGUUUCUAGGACCAUCGUAAUGAUUAAUAGGGACGGUCGGGGGCAUCAGUAUUCAAUUGUCAGAGGUGAAAUUCUUGGAUUUAUUGAAGACUAACUAC
rnacentral:rRNA from 1 species